GUCCGAUAAAUACAACGGAAUCUUAAAUGAAAUAGCACCUACCUCAAAAACUUCAAUUUAAUUAAAUGUUAUCCGAAUUUGAAGCGUACACGUAACAAAAUAAUCUUUCCCUUGCAAAUUUCCAAUCGAAUGACGUCGUGUUUUGCCAUGACGUAAAUUCGCCAAAUCCUUCAUGAAAUUUCGCGGAAUUUUAUUAAAUUUUAUUUUUAUACAUUUUCGAAGCUUUAGUGCUUUCAAUUUAUUUCUUUUUUUUUGUUAUAUAUGUACUAGAAUAGUCACAACUGUUAUGUAAUUGUUUUUAAAUCUCAAUUUGCUGAAAAUCCCGGGAUCACUGCAAGCUUGUGUAUUGCGCAUUAAUAGAUUACAAAAGUAGUUUCGGAAACAUGGUUUAUCGAAGUGUAAACUUUGAGAAAAAUUCUAGUUGACCAAUCCAAUUCAAGUAUUUAUAGAUAUGCAAAUCAUAUAAGAAUUAU
rnacentral:lncRNA from 1 species